rnacentral:rRNA from 1 species
AGUUGUAAUUUGCAGAGGAUGCUUCGGGUUCGGUUCCGGUCUAAGUUCCUUGGAACAGGACGUCAUAGAGGGUGAGAAUCCCGUAUGUGACCGGCCGCCACGCCCGUGUGAAGCUCCUUCGACGAGUCGAGUUGUUUGGGAAUGCAGCUCAAAAUGGGUGGUAAAUUUCAUCUAAAGCUAAAUAUUGGCCAGAGACCGAUAGCGCACAAGUAGAGUGAUCGAAAGAUGAAAAGCACUUUGGAAAGAGAGUCAAACAGUACGUGAAAUUGUUGAAAGGGAAGCGCUUGCAACCAGACUUGCCCACGGGUGAUCAGCCGGUAUUUUUACCGGUGCACUCGCCUGUGGUCAGGCCAGCAUCGGUUUGGGCGGCUGGAUAAAGUCCACUGGAAUGUAGCUCCUCUCGGGGAGUGUUAUAGCCAGAGGUGCCAUGCAGCCCGCCCGGACCGAGGACCGCGCUUCGGCUAGGAUGCUGGCGUAAUGGUUGUAAGCGACCCGUCUUGAAACACGGACCAAGGAGUCUAACAUCUAUGCGAGUGUUUGGGUGUCAAACCCAUGCGCGUAAUGAAAGUGAACGGAGGUGGGAACCCUUAAGGGUGCACCAUCGACCGAUCCUGAUGUCUUCGGAUGGAUUUGAGUAAGAGCAUAGCUGUUGGGACCCGAAAGAUGGUGAACUAUGCCUGAAUAGGGUGAAGCCAGAGGAAACUCUGGUGGAGGCUCCAGCGGUUCUGACGUGCAAAUCGAUCGUCAAAUU